rnacentral:rRNA from 1 species
AUACAGAGGGUGCAAGCGUUAAUCGGAUUUACUGGGCGUAAAGCGCGCGUAGGUGGCUAAUUAAGUCAAAUGUGAAAUCCCCGAGCUUAACUUGGGAAUUGCAUUCGAUACUGGUUAGCUAGAGUAUGGGAGAGGAUGGUAGAAUUCCAGGUGUAGCGGUGAAAUGCGUAGAGAUCUGGAGGAAUACCGAUGGCGAAGGCAGCCAUCUGGCCUAAUACUGACACUGAGGUGCGAAAGCAUGGGGAGCAAACAGGAUUAGAUGCCCUGGUAGUCCAUGCCGUAAACGAUGUCUACUAGCCGUUGGGGCCCUUGAGGCUUUAGUGGCGCAGCUAACGCGAUAAGUAGACCGCCUGGGGAGUACGGUCGCAAGACUAAAACUCAAAUGAAUUGACGGGG